GACGAACGCUGGCGGCGUGCUUAACACAUGCAAGUCGAGCGGUAAGGCCCUUUCGGGGGUACACGAGCGGCGAACGGGUGAGUAACACGUGGGUGACCUGCCUUUAGCUCUGGGAUAAGCCUGGGAAACUGGGUCUAAUACCGGAUACGACUCCGCGGUGCAUGCUGUGGGGUGGAAAGCCUUGUGCGGCUGGAGAUGGGCCCGCGGCCUAUCAGCUUGUUGGUGGGGUGAUGGCCUACCAAGGCGACGACGGGUAGCCGGCCUGAGAGGGCGACCGGCCACACUGGGACUGAGACACGGCCCAGACUCCUACGGGAGGCAGCAGUGGGGAAUCUUGCGCAAUGGGCGAAAGCCUGACGCAGCGACGCCGCGUGAGGGAUGACGGCCUCGGUGUAA
rnacentral:rRNA from 1 species